UGUGGUACGUAGUGGUAAUAGUACGCGCCCCGCUCCGAAACAAAGAAAAAGGUGCGUGCCGCACUCACGAGGGACUGCCAGUGAGAUACUGGAGGAAGGUGGGGAUGACGUCAAGUCCGCAUGGCCCUUAUGGGCUGGGCCACACACGUGCUCCAAUGGCAAUGACAAUGGGAAGCAAGGCUGUAAGGCGGAGCGAAUCCGGAAAGAUUGCCUCAGUUCGGAUUGUUCUCUGCAACUCGGGAACAUGAAGUUGAAAUCGCUAGUAAUCGCGGAUCAGCAUGCCGCGGUGAAUAUGUACCCGGGC
rnacentral:ncRNA from 1 species